rnacentral:rRNA from 1 species
AGUGGCGGACGGGUGAGUAACGCGUAAGAAUCUAACUUCAGGACGGGGACAACAGUUGGAAACGACUGCUAAUACCCGAUGUGCCGCGAGGUGAAACCUAAUUGGCCUGAAGAAGAGCUUGCGUCUGAUUAGCUAGUUGGUGGGGUAAAGGCCUACCAAGGCGACGAUCAGUAGCUGGUCUGAGAGGAUGAGCAGCCACACUGGGACUGAGACACGGCCCAGACUCCUACGGGAGGCAGCAGUGGGGAAUUUUCCGCAAUGGGCGAAAGCCUGACGGAGCAACGCCGCGUGAGGGAGGAAGGUCUUUGGAUUGUAAACCUCUUUUCUCAAGGAAGAAGUUCUGACGGUACUUGAGGAAUCAGCCUCGGCUAACUCCGUGCCAGCAGCCGCGGUAAUACGGGGGAGGCAAGCGUUAUCCGGAAUUAUUGGGCGUAAAGCGUCCGCAGGUGGUCAGCCAAGUCUGCUGUCAAAUCAGGUUGCUUAACGACCUAAAGGCGGUGGAAACUGGCAGACUAGAGAGCAGUAGGGGUAGCAGGAAUUCCCAGUGUAGCGGUGAAAUGCGUAGAGAUUGGGAAGAACAUCGGUGGCGAAAGCGUGCUACUGGGCUGUAUCUGACACUCAGGGACGAAAGCUAGGGGAGCGAAAGGGAUUAGAUACCCCUGUAGUCCUAGCCGUAAACGAUGGAUACUAGGCGUGGCUU